rnacentral:lncRNA from 11 species
AGGACUACCAUAAAUUUUUACUGUAUUUUUGUACUCCAGGAGCUAUUCCUUUUUCUCUUGCUUCUAGCAUCUGCAGGGAUUGCUGUGUCACAACGGAAGGUGCGUCAGAUCAGUGAUCCUAUUCAACAGAUUCUAAUUCAGCUGCACAAGAUCAUCUAUAUCACACAGCUUCCACCAACCUUACAUUGCAACUUGAAAAGAAGAGUCAUCGAGAGAUUCAAGAAAUCAUUGUUCAGUCAGCAGAGCAAUCCAUGUAACUUGAAAGCAGAAAUCAAAAAGCUUCUCCAAGGUUCUCCAGAGCUAAUUGAGCCUAACUUUUUGACAUCAGAUUAUCACCUGUUGCUUCAUUCUUCAGCAGGAAGUACCUUGGUCCUAGAUGACAGACCAGGUUUUCCUAGAACUUUUGACAUGAAUGAAGGAAUGACAUACGAACAAAUGCAGACUGUGAUUGAAGAGGUUCUGGAGGAAUGUGGUUAUUACCAUUUCACCUCAAAUAGGUAUCAAUAUUAUCCAUGGGGACCAAGGAAUCAUCCAGCCAGAAGAUGAGCACCUGGAUUUCUGUCUAGAUUGGCAUGUUUUGUAAUGAGGUCUAAGUGCCUUGACUUCAGCUGUUAUUGUCUUAUUGCCAAAGGGAAGCACUUUCCUUAAAUCACAGGAAGAGAAAAAUCAUUAUGCUCCAAGGAGCUUACAAAGAGUCAUCCAAGCAGUAGAAUGGAAGUACUGUACACCACUUCUGAUACUUUUUUGAAUGUGUACUAUGGACAGUCUUCGGUAGAUCUGCAUCAAGAGGAGAACAUAAUACUUCCAGUUAAUUCUUCCUUUAUAUUAUUUGGAAAGCACUGAUGGUUAUUUAGGAUUGUUGGAAACAUUUUCAUUUUUUAAAUUUGCUAUUAUAUCAGAGAUUUAUAUUCAUAUGAAGGGUAUAUUUUAUAAUUAAAACAUAUCAGAUUGGGGGUGAUGAAUGAAUAUUUAACAUCUUUGCUAAGUUAGGACAGGAAAUUAUCUCAAAUCCAUUUAGAAUGCAGAUUAAUUCACAGUAGUCAUCCUAAAUAUAUGUAGCCUUUGGGGUAUUGGGGAUUUCUGCUGUAGACAGUAUUAACAAGUCUGUAACUUCUGUUAAUUGUUUACUAUCAAAACUAUAGCUUUAAGGGAAUUCAGAUUCUAUAAACAAAGGAAUGGUAGUGUACAUAAGACAUUUCAAAAGGGUAUAUUUGUAUGUAAUGCUAUAUAUAGCUAUAUAUAGAUACAUACAGGCAUAUACAAAUAAAUAUAUUUAAGUGUAUUUUUAUUGAUAGAUUAGCACACAAUGCACUUUGGAAAAACUGUAUGUUUAUGAAAAAUGCAUGUAAAAUGUGUAUGUGCAAUUAAUUUUUAUCAAAAUGUUUUUCUCUGAAAUUUCAGCUACAGUGACUAGAUAUAUUGUCUAAAAUAAAUUUUAAUGGGAUUCAAUUCAUGGUAGAUCUCCAUUUUAGCUCUGGGUUCUUCUGUAUUUAAGAUGACAUACAGCACCGUACAAAUAGUUCAUGCAACAGGGCUUUUCCUCUCCCAUAUCUACCCAUGAAACCCCCAAAGACUCUUUUGAUCUUCAAGAGCAGAAUUGGAUGAGGUUACAGGAGCUGGAAAUUUUGUUCCACUUGUAGUGUCUGUUUUUUUGGCAGAUGGACACCAUUAUGCUUCAUCCAUAGUGUACAAUGUAUGUGUUAGGAGUGUGCGAAACGACACAGAAUCUGUUCUGUUUUCAGGUGCCCCCCAGGUUCUUGUUUUAGGAAGGUUCUUCCCGAAACGAAAACAGAAGGGAUUCAGACACCCCUAGUAUGUAUGCACUGAUGUUGUUUCUAGACUAGAUUAUUUAUUACAUGCCUUCAUUACUAAUGAGCAUGUUACUAAUAUAGAUAACCUCAUAGUUCGAGAUAAAUUUAGAAUGUAGGAUAGAUUGUAUAUGUCCCCACUGCCCCUAUCUCAGUUUGGCACCACCAUUGUUGAUUAACUUUGGUAUCAGUCAGAAAAAAAUACUAUUUGAAAACUAGACAAAAGUACUUCAAGAACACCAUGAGUAAAGGUUUUUUAAGUUAAGUAUUAUUGCAAUGCUUUGUGCUUUCCAUCAAGGUUAUAUUCCAGCAAUGUUUGCUGCAGUGAGUAUAUAGAGAAAGUACACAUCCCAGAAUACUCAGUGGACCCUCUUGGGCACAGUAAUAAGCCAGGCAAGGGAUGGCCAUUUUAUUUUUGGAGUUUCACAUAUCCUUUCCAUAUUUUUCUUGUUUACCCUGGUGAAAUCGUCUAAAUGACUUAUGGAUGAUAAACACUUCUGUAACAAGGGGCAGGACAUUUCAUAUAGAAAUUCUUGUAGGUUCUAUUGUAUGCUAGCUAAUAGUACCACGUAUAGCUCAUUGGAAAUAGUACAACAGUAUUGUUACAUAUCUGACAACAAUUGUUUGGAUCUAUAAAACCAAGAGCAAUUUUUUUUCUCACACAGAAGCACUUUCCACACAAUGGCAUUUUUACAUUCCCCCAAAAGUUGUUCCCAAGGAUCAUAAUUUUUCAUAGCAACAUGAAAUGUAGAAUGGGAGAUAUUAAUUGGGAUAGAGGAAUCGAAAUUUAGUCACAGAAGAAACUGCUUGGAAAAAUCACACACAGAUUUAUAUACCAAUACAUAGACAGUGACACAUUCUAUGAGUUUGAACUAAACCAACAUUGAGAUGCCUCUCUUGCUUUCCGGCAUCCAUCUCACAGCAGGAUAUAUGCUCUUAGUUUUAAGUAAACAUAUGGCCUGCCAUAAAUUCCAUACAAUUGUUAAUACUACAAGGUACCUAGGAAUAUGAAUACACACACACACGCAUAUAUAGGCUUGUAAUUCAUGUUGCUAUGAAAAUCUACAAACCAAAUGCUUAUACAAUGAAACUGAAUUUCAAAGUACCAUCUGUAAUGCCCUGUUAAAUUGUGAAACAGGGACCAUUCUGAGAAGUGAUUACACAUUUUGAAAUUUCAGAUAAUAAAGUAUGCUGAUUGCUUUUAAAAACGUGUGUAAUUAUACUGGUAACCUUCAAACUCAGCAUUCAUCAUCUCGGGAAUAGUAAAGUAAUCAUGGCAUCUUACUAUUUUUAGAAUAUUAUAUACCACAAUCACUGAAGAGAAGAAGAAUUUCCACUUGUAAUAUUUGUGAUGUAAUCGUUUGGUGAAGAGAAAAAAAAAUCUUGCUACCUAAAAAAUAGGAAGAUACACUGAGCACAAGAUUCUACUUGAACCAAAAUGUGGUGCCUCAGAAAAUGUCCAAGAUUUGUCAACCUGGGUCCCAAACCUGCUUCAGAAUUCAGAAAUCUGAAAGUUCACGUCUCCUAUUCAUUUUCUUUAGAAAUCCUGAAAUAGAACAUUCAUUCUUAUUUUUAGAACUGGAGAAAAUAGUUGACUUAUCAACUGGAUGCAAGGGGGUUAUACCUAUCAAUUUCAGGAGUCAGAUCUGGCUAGAUUUGCUAAAAACUUAUUUAUAAAUACAUCUAGAAAGAGAUACUCACUGUCACCUUUGUUACCUUCUUCCACUGCUUUCCCCCAUAUUGCUGCUCCCACUUCCCAUUGCUAUCCUAGAAGACAAAGAAACCCAAACAUGGUCUUUGCAGUCUAUGGAUAAAUUUUCCAGGUGUGCUUUAGUCAUACCAUGUGAGGGCAGUGGACUGUGAGGAUUUACACAUUAGCCUGCAGAAAGGCCAAGGUAGCUUGUUCUUUUUUGAAAGUUUUACAAGAUGUGAACCACAACAACCGUGAAUGUUUGAUUACUUUAACCUGGAGCUAUGCAAGAAAAUACUACUUUGUCCUCUACCAACC